CGAUGGUACUUGGUGGUUAGACGGAGGUGGAGAGACCUUGUGUGGUUGUCUCGGGUCGUCGCGAGGUGUCGGAGGCAGCGGACGAGAUGGAGGCUGUGGGUCUGGCACCACUGCAGGGAAAAAAGAUUAUAAUAACUAAGAAACAGUCAAAUACUAAACACAACUUACCGAUAAGCCUGUGAGGUAUCGCAGGACGGGCAGGAGGUCCUGGCUCUGGAAUUUCUCGCCUGCCUUUGUCUUUGGCAGGAGGUUGCGGGGCAUCUUGAGUCAGCGUCCUUCCUUCCUGAAUCUGUUGGAAAUUACGUCGGAGCGUAUCCCCUCCAGGUGCUUGAACGAUCGACGAAGGUUCACCAGCCAGCGCUGAAUCCUCUUCCUCAUUUUCACUACCGCUAUAUCUGUAGUCGUCUCUUUCUGCAAUGAAAUCAUCAACGGGAUCAGUGAAAAAGUGGUAUAAUUCAGCAGAGGAAAAAGUUCGCUUAAACUUCGAUUCUCCCGAAUCUGUUCUCUACUAUCAAAUCAUAAAAUAAACGCCACCCGAUAAAACAUAUCGUACAUAUUACCAAGAUAGUAGAUAAUUACCAAUUGCUAUCCUAAUUAGCAGAUAAUAAAAUUGUAUUAUUUUAUUAUUGUUGAUAAAAUUGUUACUUCAACAAUUCGAAACCAGGUUUGGCGCUAAAAUAUUAAGUGAAAUAAUGUUGGAAAAUAACCGAGCCUAGACAAACCUUUUUCCUGUUUGCGUUUCUUGCAGCGAUCGAUGUGAUCCUUUAAUUGAAUCCGAACUUGCCGCUCAGUCGGUUGAUCCCGAAUAAAUGGAUGUUUAAGAAGCUGCUCCGUGUAAGGCCUUUGAUGGUAAUCCUUGACUAGAACAG